rnacentral:lncRNA from 1 species
GUAUAGAAGGUGUACAGAACUCUCAAGUCAUAACCAUGAUAAGCUAAGGAAUAUGAUUAUCAAGUUGGGUACUAGUGCAUCAGUUUACCAUGUUUCGAAAGUAAUUACAAAUGUAGAAGUUGGACCAAGAAAAAGAAAGUGAGAAAAGGUUGAUCCGUGGGUGAGUAUAAUUGAGGGUGAAGUUGUAGUCGAGUAGAACAAUACCUACUGAUUGGAUGUUGCAUAUGCAAAGCUGGCUUUCCAGAAAAACAGGUUCGGCAGUUCCAGAUCCUCCAACUUACAGGUAAGAUCACCUUGACCAGUUCUCGCAUCAGGAAUGUUGGGCUCUUAGGAAUGACCGAAUGAGUCUUCCAUAUGCCUUAUCACAUAAUGAACCUGAUAUCUUCAACAUCAGAGAAUAGGUAACGGUAUAGAUAAGUUUCAGCUCAAUAAAGACGCGAAAUUAAAGAUCAGAUCAUAUCCGUACACUGGAGGCUCUUACUUUACAACAGGAAGCAAGAUGCAGAAUGAAAGAUCAGAUCCUAUCCAUAAACUUGGAGGCUUUUACUUUAUUAUAUGUGGUCUCAUCAUUGCUCAUAAUCAGUAUUCAGUAGCAGCUACUAUUGUGAUGUAAAUGAUUGGCUGAUAACAACGGAUGCAUAUGUGUCUAGUCCACCAUUAUUUGCACUGAUGUAAUCCUAAUAAGUUCACACAUUCCACAAUUUGCAACUUAAAUUCUGUAACAGAUCCUAGUUCACAAUACAUUAGUUCUUUCAACUUUUCAUACAGUCCCUCUAUGCAGCCCAAAUGGUUAUAGCUUUUCAACCUAUUCUUAUAAGUCAUUUUUAAGAAGUACAUAGUUCAAAGUAAUAUGAUUGCAAAAAAUAUCUGCUAUUGAAAUUUGUGAUAUCCAUGGAUAUAAACAUAUUAUAGCUCAAUCAUAAUACAAGCUUUUCCUAGCAGGAUGCAAAAACAUCAAGAUGUUAAUAUAAAAUGUAUGUAAAUCCUCUAACUGAUGAUGAAGAACUUAUAUAAGGAUGAAUGUUCUAAUGGAAGAAAAUGUUUUAGAACCACUUACAGGAAUGCAAGAUAGAGAUAUAUUUGCAGUUGUAUAUAUUAACAUAUAUAGCAUAUAUUAACAUAUAUAGCAUUAUCAUUUUAUACAUUGAAUUCACUUUGUAGAUGUUUCGCCCAAUUCAUGGAAACGAGCAGGACAGUAGGUAAAAGAAGGUUUGAUUCUGUAAUUACAGGACUGCUAUAUAAUAAGAACUAGUUAUGAAACUCAAUAGUUUUUUCUUUUAUUGCAAAUGGAUUAUGUGAAUGUUGAGGCACACUGUAAAAGAUUCUUUCUGUAUUCUAUACACAUAUAGUUGCUGGUUGAGCAGACUUGAUUGCAGACCUGGCUUUCUGUACUCUUCAUGAACAUAUUUCAGCUGACUGAGCAUACUUGAUAGUGGACCUGGCUAAUGCAUCCAUGGGGUCAAUACAUUUUUUAAGUAGGGGAUCAUCUUGAGGUAAAAGUUCUCGCAAUUCAUCAGACGCCAGGAUAACAGUGUUCACGGCUCUAACUAAUAGUACCUGUAGGGCAAUUCUUAGAAGAGUUUGUGCUCCUUCUACAUCAUUUUUAGUCAGAGCUUCAAUUGCAGGGUCUAUAGUAUGCUCCAUUGUUGCUUUAUCCGGUAGCACAACCUCGAAACCCUGCAUAUUCAGGAUUUCAAAAUGAGCAGAAACAAUCUAUAAGAAAUUGCUGUUUGAAAACUAUCUGAAUGUAGCUGAAGCAACAUUUAAGUCCACAAAAGUCAUGUUGGGUCAUUUCUGACAGAAGAUUAAUAAUUUACUUGAUAGCAAAAGAAAAAAUGGGAGCUAGAAAUGAAAAUUUGCCCAGAAAUAAACUAGCAAUACCUCAUUGUGAAGUUUGUCCUUAUAAAUGCCUGUCAACAAAGUUGUGCUGGUGGAAAGAACACCGAUCCGUAGAGGACUUCCAGCUUCAAGUGGCCUCAAAUUUGCUUCCUUGAGCUCCCUGGCAACACACUCACCCAUAUGAAGCACUGGAACAGAACAUCCCUUUGAAACCUCAUCAUGCCAGAAUUGUGAUAUAUGACAAGGUAUCGCAAUGCAGCAAGCUCCAGAACUUUCAAGGAAAACCCUUUUACUCCUCAAAUUUUCCACAAUCGACAUGUGAUCUAACUUCAAACCUUCUGUUCUAGAAAAAGAACUUCUUUGGUGAUGCAAUAACUCCUUGUUCAACCCGGGGUCUGAACACAAAACAAAAGAAAGGCCAGCUCCUGCAUCAUCUGAACUCAAUGCCACGAGUUUCCUGACAAAACUGAGAGUAGAGUCGACGGAUACACCUCCAAUAAUUCCCACCCCUUUUCGCUGUUUUAGCAAGAAACCACCUCCAAUUGAUGAAGCAUAUGAACCGGAACUCCUUGUAGAGUCGGGUAAACUCUCGUUCUGGUCCGUUUGCAAAGCUAUAGACAACGGCAAUGCAACUCGAACCGGAUUUAUCAUAUUUCCAGAAAAAGUACUAUGUUUUCUGAAAUUGCACAAAACAUGUGACGGAUAAUUUAAUGCACGGAAAGGCAUUUCCCAGCACUUUUAAGUAAUGUACAUGUUCCAGAAACCAAAGAACAACAAGAUGCUGCUUUUCUCUCAGCCCUUGUGAGUUGUGUAGCCUUGUGAAACAAAUAUACGUGGUAAAUAAGUAGUGAAUCCUAAAACAAGAAUCGAAUUCUACUUUUUAGGACAAGGACAAGAGGAAGAAUGGAUGAUGAUCAAAUCCGAGUUCAUUUCAACGGGUGCAAUGAUUUUUAUACCAAAUGAGUAUUUGUUAGGCGAAAUGGUCACUUAACAAGUUAUGAUGUAAUAUCAGAUUCUUCGAGAAAAGCCACUUGUUAAAAUAAUAGUGACUAAUGACUAACGAGGACAUGAAAAAGAAGACAACAAGUGAAGAACAAGGAGGAGAAAGACACAGCAGUAUCUUUUUCACUGUGUAUGGAUCUUCCGACAUGGUGCAUGGGAAGUUGGGUGGUGAGGGUCGGAUGUCUGCAACUCCGGACACCUAACUAGCAGACAAAUCACCAUUUCAACCAAACAUACAUCACCUCACAAAUAAUAUGUACUUCUCGUGUAACAUGCAAAUUUUGCGAGCCUUUUUCAGUCAAAGGUUCGAUAUUUAUUAACAUCCAUCACAAAGUUAACAAAAAGAGGAGGUCAUAAUAAUACCCAUUCCAUGACCCAGGAGGAAAACAAACUGUCCUCGUACAUCUAACAUGAUUUGGGCCUCUAUCUCCAAGUGAGCAAUUGUAAAUGUUAUGUGACCCACUCUAUAUACUCUACAGGUAUGUAAAAUGAAUUUGGUUAGGAAAUGUUUGGGCCGAAUUUUCCCCAUUUUACAAAUAGAUUCCCUCCGUCUCUAUAAAUUGAUUUCCUCGACAGAAUCCGCCCAUAUUCUAAUACUCAUUCCUUGGGAAGAAGAAUUAUGUAUUUUUAAAAAUUGUCGAUUAGACUAAAAAUGAUUGGUUAAAUUGUACGGUGUUAUGUAAAUUUCUAAAAAUGUAUGUUAUAAUUAUUUCAUCUUAUUAUAAAUAAAAUACAUUAUUCUAGUAUAAUAAUAGAUGAUGUGGAUUCUUGGUAUCGGUCUGCGGAAAUUGACACAACAUAAAAGAUUGGUUAUAAUUAUAAAUAAGAAUGUUUUAUGAAAUCUAUAUAUAUUAUCUAUAAAUUUUAUUUUUGUCAUGCCGCGUAGAUUUUUAGUUAAGAAUUUUAUGGAUGUGGAGGUGCUCACAUGAUAACUUUUACUUAUUUAUUCAUAAUAGAUAUAUUAUAUUAAAUUAAAAUAUUUAUAUAUAUGAUAAUAACUGAAAUAUUUUUUAGAAAAUUAUGCGGAAAGUACAAAAUGACAUGCUUUAUAGAUGUUUUAUUUGUGUUGGUUAAUGUACUAAUUUUUGUGUACAAUCAAAAGGAACCCUUUAUUAUAUCUUACUUUAUUUUAUAGAGUAAGUAUAAUGUUUAUUUUAGCUGAGACCUGAGAUUAUAAACUUGUAUUUUAUGAUAAUUUUCACUAUAUUUGACAUUUUUAUUUUAUCUAUUUCCCAUGUACAGUUGAGUUCAAUGAUUUUAUUUAAAAUAUAAUAUAACAUUGUCUAAAUAUCUGUAUAUAUCUCACAUAUUUCUUAUUACUCUUUUUAAAAUUAUAAUUUUCUACAAUGUAUGGAAUUGUUAGAGUAACAGAAGAUAAAUAAUUGCCAAAAUUUCUUUGUAUAAUUUCAAUUCGCGAUUAUAUACGUGUAAAGUUCAUGAAUGAUCGUAGGACUCACAACAUUGAUGAUCGAGGUAUAAAAGCAAAAAGGUAAAAGGUUGCUGACAAAAGAAUACAGAGGGAUCGAUGCUGGAAUCUGGAUGGGUGGCUGGAGUUUGAUGACUAAGUGUUGUCAUUUAUUAUUAUUAUUAUUAUCAUUAUUAUUAAUUUAUUAAAAUUGGCUCUUCAGCUCUCCAUGAACCACCCUCUUCUGUCAAAAACCAAAGAUGCAAAAGCGAGGAUACACUAGUUACUGGAAUAGCAACAAAAUGUAAUCAUCAUGCACUAAAAUACACUGCUCUCGAUUCACGAGCCGCGUCACAUGUGGGACCGCAUCAGUUUCGGUUUUUCACACUUCCCGUUCCCGAUGUCAAAUUCCAUCCUAAUUAUUGGUCUCUUUAUUAAUUCAUCCUAUGUACUCCCUCCGUCCCAAUGAAUUGUAUACAGUUUUCUUUUUGGGACGUCCCAUCAAUUGUAUACAUUCCAAAAGUAGUAAACUUUUAUCAUAUAAAAAAUCAUUACACCAACUACUUUCUUCCACUAUCUCCAUUCUAUAAUAAUAUAAACACUAUUACACCCACUAAUUUCCUCCACUAUCUCAAAUAUAUCAUUAAAUAUAAAUGGGUCCCACCGCUAUACCCACUUUUCAUCUAACUUUACUCAUUUCUUACACAAUUUCUUGGUCUCCGUGUCCCAGUCAUUUGUAUACAAAUGACUGGGACGGAGGGAGUAUUGUUUCUACCAUUAAAAUACUACUACUACUUGUACUAUGUUUAUUGUUUAAAGAGUACUCUAUACUGCUGGCAUGAUUUGGUGAUGUAUGUGACUAUGUGAGUUUAACAAGUCUUGUAGUAACAUAAUUGUACCAUGUGGAGGAACCUUCCCUCUGAUCUCUUAGCUAACAUCUUCUCCAUCCUCUCCCCAGACUCCUUAGCUCGUGCCAUGACGGUGUGCAGGGAGUGGCACAAGUGCGCCAAGUGCACCCCCUCCCGGCUGCGCCACCCUGCCUGGUUGCUUGCUCUGCCUUGCCACACCCGUAGCAGCCUCUUCUGUUAUGUUCACAACCCAACUCUCCAAACUUGGCACAUGCUCUCUUUAAGCUUUGUUCCAACCCCAUCUAAAGCGAUCGCAACAAUCAAUGGUUUGGUGCUCUUUAAGUCCACCACCAUAGCCCUUCAAUUGUCCGUUUGCAACCCCUUUACUCGCCAAUUCAAGUACCUUCCGCUACUCUGCAUUGCUCGUACCAACCCCGCCAUUGGCGUCGUAGAAGUUGGCUCCAAUCACUUCAUGAUCUAUGUGGCGGGCGGGAUGUCGGAUGCAUCAAAAGCUGGUGGUGCGACGUAUGAGCCUACGGUUGAAAUGUAUGAUUCACAAUUCGAUACAUGGGAAAUCAUCGGAACAAUGCCGGUUGAAAUUGCAGUAAGGUUGACAGUUUGGAGCCCAAAUGAGAGUGUGUACUCAAAUGGAGUCUUGUACUGGAUCACUUCUGCCAGGGCUUAUAGCAUAAUGGGCUUUCAAGUUCAGACAAACAGGUGGAGAGAAUUGAGUGUGCCUAUGGGUGAUACACUUGAAUUUGCAUCAUUGAUCCCAAGAAGUGGUAAGUUGACACUCGUUGGGGGCAACGUAGACGCCUGGAUAUGGGAGCUAGGGGUGGAGGAUGAUUGGUGCUUGGUCGAAAAAAUGGGAUUGGACCUGAAGACGAGAUUUUUAGGGGGAAAGGAAAGUUGGGGAUGUACAAAAUGUGUAGGGGUUGAGGGGGAAAUGUGUUUGUAUAAAGAGUCUGGCUUAGAUAUGUUGGCUUGGAGAAAAGUUGUGGGGGAAUGUAGUAAGCGGGAAUGGUGUUGGAUCAAGGGUUGCAGUACCAUCAAAGAUAAGCAAGUGCCAAAAUUUACAACCAAAGGACUACUAAUUCACCCAAAUUUGUCAAGUCCUGUGUUUUGAAAACAAGAGAUGGUGUACAUAAUAUGGGUUCUCUUUAAAUCAUUUUCAUGUGUAAAAGUCAUUUGUCAAUCUUGGCAGAUAAGAGAUAGAAAUUUAUUUGAAUGCCUAGCUUAUAUUGUAGACUACUUGUUUUGUAUCAAAUAUGAUGGUCCAUUUUGACACUCCUGGUUGAAGAAGAAGGUGAAAAAAUUACUGUGACCAACCAGUAAUCGUAACCAAUUACAUACAUAGCUAAAUGCAAUAAGCUGGGUUAUCCCGAAGUCAACCUUAAACUAACAUGUGAAAGAACCUGAGGCUAAUAUCAAGUCUGAGAAGCAUGAAUCAGCAAAUUAUCAUGUCAACAAAUAUAAGAAAAAAGAGGAUUUUGAAAAAGAUUGUCCAGAAAAUCGUGGUGUGUUAAACAUGCUUGCUAGAUUGCUUGAGGAUGAUUUGCUAUCUAAAUCAGAAACAAAAAACCAAAGACUCGUAUUCAGAUACAAAAUACAAAUCAUAAAUUCAAAAUCAUACAGUACUGAAACUAAGUAUAGAAGGUGUACAGAACACUCAAGUCAUAACCAUCAUGAUAAGCCAAGGAAUAUGAUCAUCAAGUUGGGUACUAGUGCAUCAGUUUACCAUGUUUCGAAAGUAAUUACAAAUGUAGAAGUUGGACCAAGAAAAAGAAAGUGAGAAAAGGUUGAUCCGUGGGUGAGUAUAAUUGAGGGUGAAGUUGUAGUCGAGUAGAACAAUACCUACUGCUUGGAUGUUGCAUAUGCAAAGCUAGCUUUCCAGAAAAACAGGUUCUGCAGUUCCAGAUCCUCCAACUUACAGGUAAGACCACCUUGACCAGUUCUCAAUCAGGAAUGUUGGGCUUUUAGAAAUGAGUCUUCCAUAUGCCUUAUCACAUGAUUAACCUGAUAUCUUCAACAUCAGAGAAUAGGUAACGGUAUAGAUAAGUUUCAGCUCAAUAAAGACGCAGAAUGAAAGAUCAGAUCGUAUCCGUACACUGGAGGCUCUUACUUUACAACAGGAAGCAAGAUGCAGAAUGAAAGAUCAGAUCCUAUCCAUACACUUGGAG